CAGCAAGUGAGAUGGAUGGCAUGGUGGGUGAGAAGGAUGAGUGACAGGCUGCAGGUGAGACAGAUGAUGAGUGAGAUAGGAAGUGGGUGAGAUGGUCAUUGGGUGAGACAGUCAUCUGGAGUAAGGGACAGAGCGUGAGACAAGAAUUGGUUGAGAAAGAUAGGUGAGAGACACAGUGAGACGAUGAAUGAUACCGGCAGUAGGUAAGAGAGACAGUGGGUGGGACAGAUGAGUGAGACUCAAAGAGGGUGAGACAGAUGAUGAAUAAGACCAGCAGUAGGUGAGAGAGACAGUGGGUGAGACAGAUGAUGAAUGAGACCAGCAGUAGGUGAGAGAGACAGUGGGUGAGACAGAUGAUGAAUGAGACCAGCAGUAGGUGAGAGAGACAGUGGGGGAGACAGAUGAUGAAUGAGACCAGCAGUAGGUGAGAGAGACAGUGGGUGAGACAGAUGAUGAAUGAGACCAGCAGUAGGUGAGAGAGACAGUGGGGGAGACAGAUGAUGAAUGAGACCAGCAGUAGGUGAGCGAGACAGUGGGUGAGACAGAUGAUGAAUGAGACCAGCAGUAGGUGAGAGAGACAGUGGGGGAGACAGAUGAUGAAUGAGACCAGCAGUAGGUGAGAGAGACAGCGGGUGAGACAGAUGAUGAAUGAGACCAGCAGUAGGUGAGAGAGACAGUGGGGGAGACAGAUGAUGAAUGAGACCAGCAGUAGGUGAGAGAGACAGUGGGGGAGACAGAUGAUGAAUGAGACCAGCAGUAGGUGAGAGAGACAGUGGGUGAGACAGAUGAUGAAUGAGACCAGCAGUAGGUGAGAGAGACAGUGGGUGAGACAGAUGAUGAAUGAGACCAGCAGUAGGUGAGCGAGACAGUGGGUGAGACAGAUGAUGAAUGAGACCAGCAGUAGGUGAGAGAGACAGUGGGGGAGACAGAUGAUGAAUGAGACCAGCAGUAGGUGAGAGAGACAGUGGGUGAGACAGAUGAUGAAUAAGACCAGCAGUAGGUGAGAGAGACAGUGGGGGAGACAGAUGAUGAAUGAGACCAGCAGUAGGUGAGAGAGACAGUGGGUGAGACAGAUGAUGAAUGAGACCAGCAGUAGGUGAGGGAGACAGUGGGUGAGACA